rnacentral:lncRNA from 1 species
AUGCUGCAUGCGAGAUGCGGGAUGCUGGGCACUGGAGGCCCGGGACGCGGGUCCGAGAGCGCGGAAGGGGCGGGGCUGGGCAGCCUAAGAGGCCGCGCUCGCUCCGGACCGCCCUGCCCCAUGUUCCUCCCCGCGUCCCUCCGGCUCCUGGCGCUUCGUAGAGCCCAAAGGCUGAGAGGGGUUAGAGGCGCCGAUCACACCCUAGAAGUCGUUUAUGUCGAGCUGUGGAUGUUACAAGCGUUAUUUGGCCAGGACAGCGAGAUGCUGGCGGCCUUCUACGGGUGGUUCAGGGUCUCCCUCGUGGUCAGCGCAGUCCCAGGAUGCGGAGUCCUGGUCUUCAUCAUCGGAUCGCCCCUUUACCAGUAUGUGACCAAGUUCCUCAUCGUGGCAAUAUGUUUCCAGCUUCGGGUCCGCCGAAAUCGAGGUGAGGGGUUUCAGGAGCCCUGGCCAGGAAUGCUUCCUUCGGCCAGCAGUCUGGUGUUCUUUCCAGGUUAUGAUGGAGAAAAGAAAAUUUCUGGGAGUCCCCCCCCCGCCCCCCUACAACUCCCACUCUGGAUGGAGCUCUCCUUUCCUGCCUGGGUCCCUACCAGGAAGAGUGGGGAACUCCAAGGAGGGAGGUGCCUGUUGUGGGGGUGCUGCUGAGCAACCCAGGCAGAAGUGCUCGGCAAUGGAUGAACUCGCCCUAAUCCAGUCCUCAUCGAAGCUGGAAUCAAGAUUGCUGGGAGAAAUAUCAAUAACCUCAGAUAUGCAGAUGACACCACCCUUAUGGCAGAAAGUGAAGAGGAACUAAAGAGCUUCUUGAUGAAAGUGAAAGAGGAGAGAGAAGAAGUUGGCUUAAAACUUAACAUUCAAAAAACUAAGAUCAUGGCAUACAGUCCCAUCACUUCAUGGCAAAUAGAUAGGGAAACAGUGGAAACAAUGACAGACUUUAUUUUCCUGGGCUCCAAAAUCACUGCGGAUGGUGACUGUAGCCAUGAAAUUAAAAGACACUUGCUCCUUGGAAGAAAAGCUAUGACCAACCUAGAAGCAUAUUAAAAAGCAGAGACAUUACCUUGUCAACAAAUGUCCAUCUAGUCAAAGCUAUGGUUUUUCCAGUAGUCAUGUGUGUAUGUGAUAGAUGGACUAUAAAGAAAGCUGAGCACCGAAGAAUUGAUGCUUUUGAACUGUGGUGUUGGAGAAGACUCUUGAGAGUCCCUUGGACAGCAAGGAGGUCAAACCAGUCAAUCCUAAAGGAAAUCAGUCCUGACUCUUCACUGGAAGGACUGAUGCUGAAGCUGAAACUCCAAUACUUUGGCCACCUGAUGUGAAGAACUGACUCAUUAGAAAAAAGACCCUGAUGCUGGGAAUGACUGAAGGCAGGAGAAGGGGCUGAGAGAGGAUAAGAUGGUUGGAUGGCAUCACCAACUCAAUGGACAUGAGUUGAAUAAGCUCUGGGAGUUGGUGAUGGACAGGGAGGCCUGGCAUGCUGCAGUCUAUGGGGUCACAAAGAGUCUGACAUGAUUGAGCAACUGAACUGAAUAUCCAAUCUUAUGUUCUGCUUACACUUCAUCAGAUACCAUCAUCAUCUCAUCUGUUGCAUCCUCUCUAGGUUCCUCCCGGCACAAGCUGGCUGGUUUCUGUAGCAACUUAACAGGUAGCACAUGCCCAACCAGGCUGUGAUUAGUUAUUGGCUUACGGCCUGUGGGGCAGAUCCUGGGAACUUUGAGGGAGGCACAUGUUAUCUCUGUAUUGUCCUCAAGUAAGUGGAAGAUGUUGGAAGAUGUUACCUUUUAAUAAGGAUGGAGGGCUGGGCCAUUCCUGCAGGCUUGGAGGAACUGAGAACACAAAGAUUUUCCAGGGCAUCAACCCAGACAUCAGAUCCCGUGGGUUUUCAACCUUGGCAGAACCAUCCUUCUUGCAGUGGAAGCUCCACCCUGGAGCUCAGCUGCUCUCUGUGGUUGAAAGCCUGGUCUCAGCUUUCUCUGCUCUCCUGCCACAUGUGAGAACCUCUUUUCUAGCAGUGAGGCUUCUGGCACUCACACUUGCCUAUAAUUGUGUUAACUGCAUUCAGCCUUUCAUUGGUUUCCUAGAGUAUAAAGUGCUCUCAAAGUGGAAGGGGGCAGGGAUGCCGUAGGUGGGGGCAGGCCCGUAGCGGGCAGCUGUCUUCAGCUGAGGUCCAGCUGUGGUGCUGGCAGGCGGAGGAGGGCUUUCUGUCUCAUGCUUUACCCUCAACAGGGAUUCACUCUUUUUUUUCUUUCUGGUUGCACCCCACAGCAUGCAGGAUCUUAGCUGCCUGGCCAGGGAUCGAAGCCCACACCCCUUGGAUUGGCAGCAUGCAGUCUUAACUACUGGACCGCUAGGGAAGUCCAGACUGGGGUUCAUUCUGGAAGGAUGGUUGAGUUGACACAUUUCAUAACUAAGCACCCAUCUGGAGUUUCUUCCUUCAUCCGGACAAAGAUGGGCCUGAUAACCUGGCUCUAGCAGAGCCUAGAGAGUGAAAGUGAAAGUGAAGUCGCUCAGUCGUGUCUGACUCUUCGAGACCCCAUGGACUGCAGCCUACCAGGCUCCUCUGUUCAUGGGAUUUUCCAGGCAAGAGUACUGGAGUGGGUUGCCAUUGCCUUCUCCAAUGGCAGAGCCUAGAGAAGUGACUGUCUAUUUCAAGUGCAAAUGAGGGAAGGUGUCUUCAUCAUCCAGCUCUCUUCCCAGUCCUACAUUGAAUUUCUGUGUUGCCCAUGGAAAGAUAUUCUUGACAGCAGAGGUGAGAGAGCUGUGUGGGUUAUUACCUAGUCAUCACCAACGUAAUUUCAUGUCACCUAUUCAAAGGACUUUUGGGGACAUCCCUUUUGAUAUAUUUCUGUCAGAGUUCUAAGUUUUUCCUUUGUUGAAUAAAAAACAAACAUUAAUUCA